AUUGCAUAUCAAUAAGCGGAGGAAAAGAAACCAACAGGGAUUGCCUUAGUAGCGGCGAGUGAAGCGGCAAAAGCUCAAAUUUGAAAUCUGGCUCUUUCAGAGUCCGAGUUGUAAUUUGAAGAAGGUAUCUUUGGGUCUGGCUCUUGUCUAUGUUUCUUGGAACAGAACGUCACAGAGGGUGAGAAUCCCGUGCGAUGAGAUGAUCCAGGCCUAUGUAAAGUUCCUUCGAAGAGUCGAGUUGUUUGGGAAUGCAGCUCUAAGUGGGUGGUAAAUUCCAUCUAAAGCUAAAUAUUGGCGAGAGACCGAUAGCGAACAAGUACAGUGAUGGAAAGAUGAAAAGAACUUUGAAAAGAGAGUGAAAAAGUACGUGAAAUUGUUGAAAGGGAAGGGCUUGAGAUCAGACUUGGUAUUUUGUAUGUUACUUCUUCGGGGGUGGCCUCUACAGUUUAUCGGGCCAGCAUCAGUUUGGGCGGUAGGAGAAUUGCGUUGGAAUGUGGCACGGCUUCGGUUGUGUGUUAUAGCCCUCGUCGAUACUGCCAGCCUAGACUGAGGACUGCGGUUUAUACCUAGGAUGUUGGCAUAAUGAUCUUAAGUCGCCCGUCUUGAAACACGGACCAAUC
rnacentral:rRNA from 1 species